UAAACGUAGAUUCUUUUUUUUUUCUUUAGAUCAAGUCAUAUUGGUUCAGCACCUGUUUCUUCAAGGUUUUCAUUGAUCCCACUUCUUAACUGCAUUAGGCUGCUUUAUCAAGUCCACCUUUCUAAUGCCAAGAAAUCAUCUGCCACAACUGAAAUCAAACACAAGUUGGAUAAUGACAGCGGCAAGGACAUUUUUAAGUUGGGGAGAAAAGAUCUUCUUCCGAAAGUGAAGGGAACCAAAACAAAACAAUAAUUGGUGUUGUAUAUUGACCGAUGAGAGCGUGAAAAGAGAGACCGGAUUGAUGCAAACGUUGUCGUAUUGUUGCAGAGUACACCACUAUAGUGUUGCUAACAAUGGCAAACUUCAGUUUUACUAGGGGUUUAAUUUUGAUUAUUAAGACUGGGAGAUGAAGGUGAUUAUGCAUAUACCAUUACUGUGAGAUUCGCCGAUUAGCAAUGGAAGUUUGUUACCUGGUGUCGACAGGACAAAUCACUUCUUUGAAUGGAGAUUCAACUCAUAUUGAUGAUGACCAUGAGUUGAAGUAGGGUCUUCAACAAUUUUGUAAGGCCAACCCAUAUUCACUUAGGUCGUUGGGAGGCUGUCAUGAAAUUCGGUUGGUCGGGUUUGGGUUUUUCAGGAUUAGGUUUCGACAUUGACGAGAUAAUACAAGCAUGGCAUGAACUGUAUGAAGUGAAAAGAUGGCAAAGUGGCGUUCGUCUUUUCGAUUAGCGCCAUUGUUUAGAAGACGAGUUUUUGUUAUUGGUUCAAAGAAAAAAGUAUUGUGGAUGAAAUUUAAUAUAAGGGUGAACACAACAUACAUGUUUUGGAGAACAGUUAGAUGAAUAUAUCCGGGUCGCUAGCUUGGGAAGUGGGACUCAACAUACACAAACAGGGAACUCAAUUUACUAAGAGAAAGGUUUUGGUAACUCGAAGGAUAUGCAUCUUCAAAAGGACUCGACUAUCUUUAAAUUGUAUAUCCACUCUAUCACUAAUUUAUGCAACA